AGAGUUUUCCCCUUCGGGGGACAAAGUGACAGGUGGUGCAUGGUUGUCGUCAGCUCGUGUCGUGAGAUGUUGGGUUAAGUCCCGCAACGAGCGCAACCCUUAAGCUUAGUUGCCAUCAUUAAGUUGGGCACUCUAGGUWGACUGCCGGUGACAAACCGGAGGAAGGUGGGGAUGACGUCAAAUCAUCAUGCCCCUUAUGAUUUGGGCUACACACGUGCUACAAUGGACAAUACAAAGGGCAGCGAAACCGCGAGGUCAAGCAAAUCCCAUAAAGUUGUUCUCAGUUCGGAU
rnacentral:rRNA from 1 species